CAGUAGCCGCGGUAAUACGUAGGGUGCAAGCGUUAAUCGGAAUUACUGGGCGUAAAGCGUGCGUAGGCGGUUUGUUAAGUCUGUUGUGAAAUCCCCGGGCUCAACCUGGGAAUGGCAAUGGAUACUGGCAAGCUAGAGUGCGUCAGAGGAUGGUGGAAUUCCCGGUGUAGCGGUGAAAUGCGUAGAGAUCGGGAGGAACAUCAGUGGCGAAGGCGGCCAUCUGGGACAACACUGACGCUGAGGCACGAAAGCGUGGGGAGCAAACAGGAUUAGAUACCCGUGUAGUCCCUGUCUCUUAUAC
rnacentral:rRNA from 1 species